GACAAAGAGGCAUUACAGGAGCAGCAGAUGAGUAACCUGCUUCAGGUGUCCGCGCUGCAGUCCAGACUGGAUGAGGGCAAGUGCCCGGUGCCUCCCGACGGUGGUUGUCACGACCGCGCCGAAGCCCAGCUGGAGGUGGUGCAGGGGGCUCUCAGGCAACGCGAGGCUGAGGUGCGCGGGGCCACACAGGGCACUCCCUCGCUGUUUGUGUCUGCCGGGGCCUCCCUGCUUGUGUGCAGGAUGUCCACACGACACAGUUUGUGGGCUCGUCACUACUGUAUUCACUUUGUAAUUUUAACACUUGUGUGGAUUGUAGGAUAAUAAUAAGUUUUUCUGGUGUGUGCUUUAAAAUGUUUUAAGUGAUUUUAAUAAUUAUUAAGGUCAAUUAGAAUAUUAGAUAACUUUUAAUGCUUGCCUGCUUUGAUGCAAGGUUUUCGACUUAAAAGACCAAUUAGAAAAUCUUAAAGAUGACUUAGUAAAUAAAAAUGAAGAAAUACUGCAUCUGAACUGGAAAUUAGGCCUGCAGGACAACAGCACCGCUGCCAGCAUCAAAGAGCUUCAGGAGGAGAACGCCCGUCUGAAAACAUUUCUGCAAAAUAAAGAAAGGGAGAUGAUGCAUGUGCGUGAGUCGGCGGAAGCGCAGUUGGCCAGGACAGGAAGUGGUGCUGUCAGUGAGGUUGUGUGUAGUAGAAGUUCUGAAGUUGAAGAGCUGAAAUCCAUUAUUGAGACUCUGCGUGAGAACCAAGCGCGGCUGCAGAAGGAUAAUGCUGAGGAGAUUGAGCAGCUCCACGAGGUCAUCGAGAAGCUGCAGAGGGAGCUCCCACUCGGGGGGCCUGAGGCUCCCAAGGCUGGGGAAGGCGGGGCCAUGAGCCUGCAGAGUGAGCUGCUGGGCCUCCCAGCCGAGGGAGCCGAGGCCCCCGCAAUGUUGGCGGGUGAGCUGCAUGCUGCCCUGGAGGCCAAGGAGGCCCUGAGCCAGCGGCUGGCUGAGCAGGAGCGCCAGCACAGCCAGGCCCUCGAGGCCCUCCAGCAGCGCCUGCAAGCCGCGGAGGAGGCGGCCACACGGCAGUUGGCCGAGCUGGGGCCUGAGGGCCUAGCCUCCCAGAUCUUUGAGUUUGAAGCUGCUCUGCAUGCCAGGGAAGCAAAGAUCGCAGAGAGAGAUUUAGAAAUUGAAGCUCUGCGCCGGGAGAAGUCCACCCACUCCGCUGAGCUGGAGGCCAUCCUGGCAGCCGUGGCCCGCUUUCGCCAUGCCCUGGAGCAGCAGCUCCUGGUGGCCACUGGGGAGCCCCCUGAGCUACAGCGACUCCGAAAGCAGUGUGUCUGCCUCAGCCGCCAGCUGCAGGCACUCAACCAGCGGUUCCUGAAGUGCCAGAAGGAGCUGGAUGAGCGGCAGGCGCAUGGGGAGGGUGGCUCCCAGGGCUGGGUGCCUAGGGGCGAAGAGACCUCCUGCAGUGAGGAAUUGCAACAGGCUGUGGAUGGCAGGCAGCUGGCCCAGGCCCUUGACGGCCGUGGCAGUGACCCACAGGUGGGUUCGUUCUCCGCAGGCCACAACUUGUGCAGCCUGUGUGUGCAGAGAGCUGGCUGCACGUCAGAGGGUGGGAAGUGUCCGGGGAGCUGGGAGUGUGUGUGUUGGGUGCAGGUGGGGUGUUGGGGGCAGACAGUGCUGGGAGUGCAGGCGGGGAGCUGA
rnacentral:lncRNA from 1 species